rnacentral:rRNA from 1 species
AGCAGUCGCCGCGGUAAGACAGAGGAUGCAAGCGUUAUCCGGAAUGAUUGGGCGUAAAGCGUCUGUAGGUGGCUUUUCAAGUCCGCCGUCAAAUCCCAGGGCUCAACCCUGGACAGGCGGUGGAAACUACCAAGCUGGAGUACGGUAGGGGCAGAGGGAAUUUCCGGUGUAGCGGUGAAAUGCGUAGAGAUCUGGAGGAAUACCGGUGGCGAAGGCGGCCCCCUGGACAAAGACUGACGCUCAGGUGCGAAAGCGUGGGGAGCAAACAGGAUUAGAUACCCCAGUAGUCCCUGUCUCUUAUAC